AUUGAACGCUGGCGGCAGGCCUAACACAUGCAAGUAGAACGAGUGGCGGACGGGUGAGUAAUGUCUGGGAAAAUGCCAGAUGGAGGGGGAUAACUACUGGAAACGGUAGCUAAUACCGCAUACCAUCAGAUGUGCCCAGAUGGGAUUAGCUAGUUGGUGGGGUAACGGCUCACCAAGGCGACGAUCCCUAGCUGGUCUGAGAUGGUGACCAGCCACACUGGAACUUAGACACGGUCCAGCCUCCUCCGGGAGGCAUCAGUGGGGAAUAUUGCACAAUGGGCGCACGCCUGAUACAGCCAUGCCGCGUGUAUGCAGAAGGCCUUCGGGUUGUAAAGUACUUUCAGCGGGGAGGCGUUAACCGCAGAAGAAGCACCGGCUAACUCCGUGCCAGCAGCCGCGGUAAUUC
rnacentral:rRNA from 1 species